GUAACGCGUAUGCAACCUACCUUUUACUGGAGGAUAGCCUUUAGAAAUGAAGAUUAAUACUCCAUAAUAUUUAGAUUCAGCAUUGGAUUUAGAUUAAAGUUUCGGCGGUAAAAGAUGGGCAUGCGUUUUAUUAGUUAGUUGGUAAGGUAACGGCUUACCAAGACAGCGAUGGGUAGGGGCCCUGAGAGGGGGAUCCCCCACACUGGUACUGAGACACGGACCAGACUCC
rnacentral:rRNA from 1 species